rnacentral:rRNA from 1 species
AUUGAACGCUGGCGGCAGGCUUAACACAUGCAAGUCGAGCGAGCGGCGGACGGGUGAGUAAUGUCUGGGAAACUGCCUGAUGGAGGGGGAUAACUACUGGAAACGGUAGCUAAUACCGCAUACCAUCAGAUGUGCCACGAUGGGAUUAGCUAGUAGGUGGGGUAAUGGCUCACCUAGGCGACGAUCCCUAGCUGGUCUGGGAGGAUGACCAGCCCCCCUGGACCUGAGACACGGUCCAGACUCCUACGUGAGGCAGCGUUGGGGAAUAUGGCACGAUGGGCGCAAGCCGUAUGCAGCCAUGCCGCGUGUGUGAAGAAGGCCUUCGGGUUGUAAAGCACUUUCAGCUAGGAGGCGUUACUCGCAGAAGAAGCACCGGCUAACUCCGUGCCAGCAGCCGCGGUAAUAC